rnacentral:rRNA from 1 species
AUAACUGUAGUAAUUCUAGAGCUAAUACAUGCCACUAUGCCCUGACCCGCAAGGGGACGGGUGGAUUUAUUAGAACAGAACCAACCGGUUGUGGCUUCGGUCGCUUCCGUUGUACUCUGUGAUGACUCUGGAUAACUUCACUGAUCGCAGUCGGCCUUGUGUCGGCGACGGAUCUUUCAAAUGUCUGCCCUAUCAAUUUUCGAUGGUAGGUGACCUGCCUACCAUGGUGAUAACGGGUAACGGGGAAUCAGGGUUCGAUUCCGGAGAGGGAGCCUGAGAAACGGCUACCACUUCCAAGGAAGGCAGCAGGCACGCAAAUUACCCAAUCCCGGAACGGGGAGGUAGUGACGAAAAAUACGGAUACGGGACUCGUAUGAGGCUCCGUAAUUCGAAUGAGUACAAUUUAAAUCCUUUAACGAGGAUCAACUGGAGGGCAAGUCUGGUGCCAGCAGCCGCGGUAACUCCAGCUCCAGAAGCGUAUAUUAAAGUUGUUGCAGUUAAAAAGCUCGUAGUUGGAUCUGGGUCGUAUGGCUACGUGCCGUCGCCCGUAAUCGAAGCUUGGUUCCGACUAGGUCAAGUUUGCGGGUCGGUUUCGUGGCUGUGCAGCCUUUCUGCCGUGUCUGUUUCGACAGGUGCCGGCCUAAUCGAUGGGCUUGUCUCGUUGGUUGGUUGGCAUGCUUCCAGAUGCCUUUGAACGGGUGUCGGGGGCGGACGGUACGUUUACUUUGAACAAAUUUGAGUGCUCAAAGCAGGCCUGUGCCUGAAAAUUCUUGCAUGGAAUAAUGGAAUAGGACUUCGGUUCUAUUUUGUUGGUUUUCGGAUCCGAAGUAAUGGUUAAGAGGGACAGACGGGGGCAUUUGUAUGGCGGUGUUAGAGGUGAAAUUCUUGGAUCGCCGCCAGACAAACUACAGCGAAAGCAUUUGCCAAGGAUGUUUUCAUUGAUCUGGAGCGAAAGUCAGAGGUUCGAAGACGAUCAGAUACCGUCCUAGUUCUGACCAUAAACGAUGCCAACUGACGAUCCGUGGGUGAUCUUUUAAUGACCCUGCGGGCAGUCCCCGGGAAACCUUUAAGUCUUUGGGCUCCGGGGGAAGUAUGGUUGCAAAGCUGAAACUUAAAGGAAUUGACGGA